rnacentral:rRNA from 1 species
AAACCAACAGGGAUUACCUCAGUAACGGCGAGUGAAGCGGUAAAAGCUCAAAUUUGAAACCCUCGGGAUUGUAAUUUGAAGAUUUGGCAUUGGGAAAAGCUAACCCAAGUUGCUUGGAAUAGUACGUCGUAGAGGGUGAGAACCCCGUGUGGCUAACCGUUUCCCAUGUAUUGCCUUAUCAAAGAGUCGAGUUGUUUGGGAAUGCAGCUCUAAGUGGGUGGUAAACUCCAUCUAAAGCUAAAUAUUGGCGAGAGACCGAUAGCGAACAAGUACUGUGAAGGAAAGAUGAAAAGAACUUUGAAAAGAGAGUGAAAUAGUAUGUGAAAUUGUUGAUAGGGAAGGGAAUGAGUGUAGCGUGGGUGAGGUUUCAAUUAUCUCUCGAGGUGAUGUACUGCCAAACCCGAGUCAAGGAGUGGGAAAAAGGGGUUAUAAAUGCAAACUCUCGAGUCUGCACCUAACCCCCGCCCUCCACUCCUCGACAUAAUACACCCAUUCCACCCGUC